rfam:Ixodes scapularis strain Wikel colony gcontig_1108378390976, whole genome shotgun sequence.
GCAGUCGUGGCCUAGUGGUUAAAGCGAUGGACUAGAAAUCCAUUGGGGUCUCCCCGCAGUUUUGAAUCCUGUCGACGGCG